GUCAAAUUAUUGAUUUUUUACAUUAGGCUACACGAUACGGUAAAGCUGCUGAUAUUCAGCCAUUUCACAGGUGUAUAUGUAUAUUGGAGAAUUUGUUAAUGAUCCUUCCGCAGGUUCACCUACGGAAA
rnacentral:misc_RNA from 1 species